AUCUUAUCCUGAGCUGGUGGAGGGACAGGCCCUAGGAAACCCAGCAACCGUCAUCCAAAUGAUGAAAUGGUGCUAACCUGAUGCAAGGCUAUGGCCUUGAACGAUAAGAG
rnacentral:ncRNA from 2 species